GGACACAUCUUACCUGACAGUGCUCGGCUGUACAUAGAUGUUCUAACACUGUCUGGUAAUGAUGUUCCC
rnacentral:pre_miRNA from 1 species